UACGGAGGGGGCUAGCGUUGUUCGGAAUUACUGGGCGUAAAGCGCACGUAGGCGGCUUUGUAAGUCAGAGGUGAAAGCCCGGGGCUCAACCCCGGAAUAGCCUUUGAGACUGCAUCGCUAGAAUUGUGGAGAGGUAAGUGGAAUUCCGAGUGUAGAGGUGAAAUUCGUAGAUAUUCGGAAGAACACCAGUGGCGAAGGCGACUUACUGGACACAUGUUGACGCUGAGGUGCGAAAGCGUGGGGAGCAAACAGG
rnacentral:rRNA from 1 species